UACGGAGGGGGCUAGCGUUGUUCGGAAUUACUGGGCGUAAAGCGCGCGUAGGCGGACCUGCAAGUCGGGGGUGAAAGCCCGAGGCUCAACUCCGGAACUGCCAUUGAAACUGUUUAGCUUGAGGACGAGAGAGGUGAGUGGAAUUCCCAGUGUAGAGGUGAAAUUCGUAGAUAUUGGGAAGAACACCGGUGGCGAAGGCGGCUCACUGGCUCGUAUCUGACGCUCAGGCGCGACAGCGUGGGGAUCAAACAGG
rnacentral:rRNA from 1 species